AUUGAACGCUGGCGGCAGGCCUAACACAUGCAAGUCGAGCGGAUGAAGGGAGCUUGCUCCUGGAUUCAGCGGCGGACGGGUGAGUAAUGCCUAGGAAUCUGCCUGGUAGUGAGGGAUAACGUCCGGAAACGGGCGCUAAUACCGCAUACGUCCUGAGGGAGAAAGUGGGGGAUCUUCGGACCUCACGCUAUCAGAUGAGCCUAGGUCGGAUUAGCUAGUUGGUGGGGUAAAGGCCUACCAAGGCGACGAUCCGUAACUGGUCUGAGAGGAUGAUCAGUCACACUGGAACUGAGACACGGUCCAGACUCCUACGGGAGGCAGCAGUGGGGAAUAUUGGACAAUGGGCGAAAGCCUGAUCCAGCCAUGCCGCGUGUAUGAAGAAGGUCUUCGGAUUGUAAAGCACUUUAAGUUGGGAGGAAGGGCAGUAAGUUAAUACCUUGCUGUUUUGACGUUACCAACAGAAUAAGCACCGGCUAACUUCGUG
rnacentral:rRNA from 1 species